rnacentral:rRNA from 1 species
AUUGAACGCUGGCGGCAGGCUUAACACAUGCAAGUCGAGCGAGAGGAGGAAGGGUGAGUGAUGGCUGGGAAACUGGCUGAUGGAGGGGGAUGACUACUGGAAACGGUAGCUAAAACCGCAUACUCUCAGAUGUGCACCGAUGGGAUUGGCUAGUAGGUGGGGUAAUGGCUCACCUAGGCGACGAUCCUUAGCUGGCCUGAGAGGAUGACCAGCCACACUGGAACUGAGACACGGCCCAGACUCCUACGGGAGGCAGCAGUAGGGAAUAUUGCACAAUGGGCGCAAGCCUGACGCAGCCAUGCCGCGUGUGUGAAGAAGGUCUUCGGGUUGUAAAGCACUUUCAGCGAGGAGGCGUUACUCGCAGAAGAAGCACCGGCUAACUCCGUGCCAGCAGCCGCGGUAAUUC